rnacentral:rRNA from 1 species
CUACGGAGGGUGCGAGCGUUAUCCGGAUUUAUUAGGUUUAAAGGGUGUGUAGGCGGGAGCCUAAGUCAGUGGUGAAAUCUCACAGCUUAACUGUGAAACUGCCAUUGAAACUGGGUUUCUUGAGUAUAGUUGAGGUAGGCGGAAUGUGUAAUGUAGCGGUGAAAUGCAUAGAUAUUACACAGAACACCGAUUGCGAAGGCAGCUUACUAAGCUAUUACUGACGCUGAUGCACGAAAGCGUGGGUAGCGAACAGGAUUAGAAACCCUAGUAGUCC